GUUCAAAGCAGGCAUAUGCUCGAAUACAUUAGCAUGGAAUAAUAGAAUAGGACGUCGCGGUUCUAUUUUGUUGGUUUCUAGGACCGCCGUAAUGAUUAAUAGGGACAGUCGGGGGCAUCAGUAUUCAAUCGUCAGAGGUGAAAUUCUUGGAUCGAUUGAAGACUAACUACUGCGAAAGCAUUUGCCAAGGAUGUUUUCAUUAAUCAGGAACGAAAGUUAGGGGAUCGAAAACGAUCAGAUACCGUUGUAGUCUUAACCAUAAACUAUGCCGACUAGGGAUCGGGCGGUGUUAUUUCUUGACCCGCUCGGCACCUUACACGAAAGUAAAGUUUUUGGGUUCUGGGGGGAGUAUGGUCGCAAGGCUGAAACUUAAAGAAAUUGACGGAAGGGCACCACAAGGGGUAAACGUUUCCCAGCGAUUCCAUCCGCAGUUAACUCUGCCCCUAAGAGCAGCCUACGCAAGUAGGGAGUGGUGUUCCUCACAUGCUAGUCGGCCGCGAGGCCGGCGAUACCUUCAAACUGCGGGGAACGCCUUAGAGGCCCUGGUACCAAGCACCACCCCGAAAGGUUGGUGUGGCGUAGCUAAUCACUACGGUACGGUAACAACCCAGGCGCAUUGGCCGAUCCGCAGGCAAGCCCCUCUGGGCCCCCCCCGGGGGCCCUCUGCGGGAAGCUUCAGAGACUAGACGGAGGUAGGUCCGCGGCGGGAGACCGCCGUGGGCUUAAGAUAUAGUCCAAGCCAGCCCUGAAAGGGGGUGGACGGGUUGCCCUCACGGGGCACCCGAGAAAUGGGAGCCUGCGGCUUAAUUUGACUCAACACGGGGAAACUCACCAGGUCCAGACACAACUAGGAUUGACAGAUUGAGAGCUCUUUCUUGAUUUUGUGGGUGGUGGUGCAUGGCCGUUCUUAGUUGGUGGAGUGAUUUGUCUGCUUAAUUGCGAUAACGAACGAGACCUUAACCUGCUAAAUAGCCCGUGCCGCCUAGGCGGCACGCCGGCUUCUUAGAGGGACUAUCGGCUCAAGCCGAUGGAAGUUUGAGGCAAUAACAGGUUAACCGUAUUCACAGGCCUGUAAAAGUAGGAGAUGCUGCUAGUCCACACCAGACUCGUGGGGAAGUCCCCCAUGUCGGGCGAGUCGGCCAUGCCUCACGGCGUGGCCCGGUGCUGGGCGACACUACCUGGUACAGGGGACGCCAUCAAGCACUUGGCACCGUCAGGUGCUAAUUGUCGGCCAAUCCUGUGGCGAGCCUGGGUAACGCCAGGCCGUCGCAACGCGCGCAAAGGAGUGGGCUCGGGUUGAGGACGCAAGUCCAACGCCUGGGCUUAAGGUACGUGCUAAUCCCUCGGGAUGAAAA
rnacentral:ncRNA from 1 species